GGUGGGAGCACAGGUGUUCUUUCCUUUCUUGAGCCUCUCCCCAUUCUGGAACCUUCUUCCCCAUCACCGAGGCCCGGCUCCACCCUCAUCACAGAGCUGAGCCAGGUGGCCCCGAGCCCACCGGCUCUCCCCACUGACCACUCGACUCGGCUUGACUCUGAAUGUCUGGUCCUGUGAAGCCACGUCUGCUCGUGUGGCUUUGGCAUCAGUGGCCAAGGUGGAGUGGGGUGGGGCGGGGGAGGGGGAGGCCGGGGAGGGGGUGGGUGGGGGUGGGGGGAGAUAAAAAAUGUAAAACACAAAACCAGUCCAGACUGUUUUCACUGAAUUUCUAGAAAUAAGCCAAUUUCUACUUCUCUUGCUCCCUCUCAGUGUUUUAGCUGAAACACUAAAGGAGCCCACGUGUCUCCUUUAGGGAGAGACAGCCGUUGAAAGCCUAAUUUGGGAGUUACACGCAUUCUCCUGCCCAGCCAGAAAAAGCCCUCAGGCUGGUGAUGGGCGCCUUGCAAGCAAGCACCCAGCUCCCUGACCGCAGCUCCUCCCCUAGAGGCGAAGCAGGGGAUUUACCGGUGCCGGGUAACCAAUUAACGCCGUGGGACAGAGGACCGGCAGGCCACCGGGACUGCAGAUGGACUCUUCACACCCAGGACUCUGCCUGCUGCCAGGCCUUCCAACGACGGUCACGUGGACGCCUGCCCUGAGCUCCGGUGUUUUGCCCGUUUGUCACCGAUGCUUCCGGCAGCCCUGCAAGGUGGGCCUGACCCCCACCCGGUCCCCCACUUACAAAUGGGAAGCUGGGGCCCAGCGAGGGGGACUAGAGCCCAGUCAGGGCCACUGGCAUCUGGGCUCAGAGCCUGCGCCCUCCCUGCCCCUGCCGUCAUCCUACCUGCCGCCUCUGGGCUCUGUCCCCUGGAUCGCUAAUGUCACCGAGCACUGGCUCCGGGCACCUGGAAGGGCACGCGGUGGGUUAACUCCCUCAGUCCCCACGCACCUUCUGGGCGGGGCCAUCGGGGUCUACGGAUGAGGUGUCACCCAGCACCGACCACCAGAUGUCACCUCAACUGCUGACUCUGGCACCUGUGCCCCUGACCCUGAGCUUCAAUGAUGCACCUGCUGUGUCCUCUUCUCAGGGUGGCCUCCACCUGCCCCACGGCGUUUCCAUCAGGGAAAGUACGCUCUUGGUUCAAGGGCCACACCAAGUGUCACCUGCUCUGGGAAGCCUUCCCUGAUCUCUGCUCCCAGAGCCCCAUCCCGGGGCAGAGUCCCUCUGUGAAAGCAUCAGUCUCCCCCUUGCUUAGGGUGCAUCCAUGUGUCCUUCUCCCCCUCUAGACAAUGGUCGCCAGGGAGUGGUUCAUGGUGACAUCAAUCAGCCCCGAUGGGGGAAUCUCCUUGUGUAAUAGACACUGCACUGCCCCAGGGAGGGGCUGGUUGGGGGUCUGUGGAAAGUGGGGAGAGUAAACACUGAGCUGCCUCCAGCUGGGUUAUGGCAGGGCCUGGGGGAUGUAAGUGAUCUCCUGAGAUCUCUUCCAACGUGGGGUUUACGAUUCUGUUAUUUCUACCAAGUGCCCGUUCGAGAUGAGCUGUGUGGGGGAUAUGGUUGGGGGUGGUGCGGAGGAGAGGG
ensembl:lncRNA